GGCUCUGCAGCAGCAGUGCCUUAAGCUAGACCAACAGGAGUGCGCUCCCAAGCAAAACGAUGGCAUCUCUCCCAUCCCUGCACCUUGCCGCAACUCUGCCUCAGAGGCAACUUUUCUCCCUGAUUUGCUAACUAUGCCCUAGUCAAGCAGGAGCCAGGAGAGGGGUGGGUAGGGUGGAAAGGAGCUGGGGGGACUGGAGCRGGGCUGGCCCCGGAGACACCCCGCCCCGAYGGGGCGGGACGAGCUGCCCGCCCCAGUCCGAGGCACUUAAAAGCCGGGGCAGCAGAGCCAGGGAGCAGGGAGCGACCAGCCGGGGCUGCACUGGAGCCGGUUGCACAAGCUGCAGAGAUUGCUACGGACGCCAGCAAAACGUCGGCCGAAAUGGCAACCGAGGUGAGGAUGAGCUUUGCUUCUCCUACUGUACUUGUCUCUGGGGUGUGCUGACAAAUGCAAGCUGAACUUAGUUAUAAUCCCAGCAGUGCAACCUACCAUAUUCAUUAGAGUGCUUUUUUCCACCUGAUUUGUUUUUCUGGGGUUUUAAACAGAGGAGGGAACAACAAAAAUUUUUGCUGCAGUAUUUCUGAUCAUCCAUCUCUGAUUCUGGUGAAAACCCACAGUAGUGAAGAUAUACUUAAAUGCUUAUUCCCUGCCCAAGCGCUUACUCUUUAGCACUAGCCUUUAAUUUCCCACCCCCAGUGCUAUUUUUCCCWGA
rnacentral:lncRNA from 1 species